rnacentral:rRNA from 1 species
CCUACGGGAUGCACCAGUGGGGAAUAUUGCGCAAUGGGCGCAAGCCUGACGCAGCGACGCCGCGUGGGGGAUGACGGCCUUCGGGUUGUAAACCUCUUUCAGCUCCGAAGAAGCCUUCGGGUGACGGUAGGGGCAGAAGAAGCACCGGCUGACUACGUGCCAGCAGCCGCGGUAAUACGUAGGGUGCGAGCGUUGUCCGGAAUUAUUGGGCGUAAAGAGCUCGUAGGCGGCUUGUCGCGUCGGAUGUGAAAACCCGGGGCUCGACCCCGGGCCGGCAUUCGGUACGGGCAGGCUGGAGUUCGGCAGGGGAGACCGGAAUUCCUGGUGUAGCGGUGAAAUGCGCAGAUAUCAGGAGGAACACCGGUGGCGAAGGCGGGUCUCUGGGCCGAUACUGACGCUGAGGAGCAAAAGCGUGGGGAGCGAACAGGAUUAGAUACCCGUGUAGUC